rnacentral:lncRNA from 1 species
UUUUCAACUUUUGGCUACCUGAGUGAAUUUGUAUACAUCAAAAAAAAGAAUCACCAAUGAUUCACUAGCAUAAUGUAGACAUCUCUAAUAAGCAAACCACUGUACAUUAUAGUAGCAAGAUGACAAUUCAUUAGAUUACAAACAACAGCUUUCAUUUGAGAGCAUAGUUUCAUUACAAAGCAACUACAACUUGUAAUUUCAUUAAAUUAAACAAUUUCAUUACAACACAACUCGACUACAUUACAAAUAACAAAAACCACAACAUGAAAGCAAAAAGAAAAAUCUGAGUACACCACUUUUUUCUUCAAUGUAAUCUCCUCAAUUUUUUCCACCAGCUCCUGAUUUCUUUUCUACAAUAGCUUCUGAUUUUUCUUUUCUACAAUAGCUUUAGUCAGAAGUUGAGUAAAACCUGUAGGAAGCUGCACUUUUUCUUGGGGGUAUCUGCAGAAACAUUACAAAUGAUACAUAUUAGGUUAGCAUCAAAGCAACUUGCAAAUCUUCCACAAGAGGACUAAAAAAAAGUGCAACACUUCUAAUUUGAAAUAAAACAGUGAACGCCAUUGACGAUAAAGUUCAGACUUUUGGUGCCAUUUAUUACUUUUCCCAUGUAAUGUAAAUCUUCUAGGAAGGAGUGAGUGAAGUACUUCAGAUUUCAAUAUGCAGCUAGAUCACAGUGUAAAACUUGGAUCCAAUAACUCACAAACAUAAAACGCAAUACACAUAUAUAUAUAUGGUUUUGUUUUCAGCUGUAUAGGAUUUCAGUCGGUAUAAAAAUAGUAAAACUUAAAGGGACUUUGAAUGAAACUUUGCCCAUCAAGAAAAAUCCGAAGCAGUUAGUAAUGCAAGUAUAUUAAUAGAGCCAUGGAAACGGGCCCUUUGACAUAUUGCAGAUAGACUAGAAAGAGAAUAAAUAACUUCGCAGAGCAUAACAUCCUCCAAAUAACUUCACUGAAAUCCAUCUGACACUUUAUGCCCAGACUUCAAUAAUUUAGUGUAGAACAAACUCAACAGACAGUUAAAGGGUUGCAUAUGUGCAUCAUCUUGCAGAGUAGAAGAGACUCUAGAUUCAUCAACUAUGGACCUCUUGUACAAGAACCCUCACAAUUUUUCUGCAAGUCACUCAAUCAGCUGAGUCUAGGGUAAUCGCAAGAAAAGGUCUGCCUCCUCUUUCAACAAUGCAAACAACAUUAACAUAUCCUGAUAUAGAGAAAUAGAAAUUAAAUCUAUAUAUAGACCCAAACCCACACCAUACAUUGUCACUACACAUUAAUAUAAAUGAAAAUACAAAGAAUUUCAUCAGAAUCAAUCUCUAUAGUUUAGUCGACCAUAACUCAAGUCGAAUGUACUCUAUCAUAAGAAGCUAAUUUAGCAAUAAUAUACAAAACAAAUUAUGCAUUACACACUACAAAUUUACCUUACGACUUCGCUAAUGGAAGAGAGGGUUUUCAGAUGGGUUCGAAUGGCAGCUUACGACUUCGCAUGGGUUCUGUUCUCUAAGAAUUGGAAGAGAAAGAGAGGAGGGGUUUUUAAUCUGUAAGAAUUGGAAGAAUAAGAGAGAAGGAGGGAGUCUUUCCACUGAAUUCGCAAGAAGAUGGGUUUUCGAUCGGUAGAAAUCGGAAGAAUAAGAGAGAAGGAAGGAGUCUUCCCACUGAAUUCGCGAGUUCACUUUUACGACCCGAAUCUGUCAUUUUGACCCGCGUGCUUUUUUUUUUCUUGAGUCCGUUUGUUAGUG